AGUGAACGCUGGCGGCAGGCCUAACACAUGCAAGUCGAGCGGCAGCGCGGGGGCAACCCUGGCGGCGAGCGGCGGACGGGUGAGGAAUUCGUCGGAAUCUGCCUUUUUGUGGGGGAUAACGUAGGGAAACUUACGCUAAUACCGCAUACGUCCUACGGGAGAAAGUGGGGGACCGCAAGGCCUCACGCAGAAAGAUGAGCCGACGACCGAUUAGCUAGUUGGUGGGGUAAAGGCCCACCAAGGCGACGAUCGGUAGCUGGUCUGAGAGGAUGAUCAGCCACAGUGGGGCUGAGACGCGGCAGAGCGACUUAGUGACGGCAGCGGUGGGUAAGGGGGGACUAUGGGGGGAAGACGGAACGAUCGGCGCCACGUGGAUGGAGCAGGGCCGCGGGUGGUAAGGCGGUAUUGUGGGGGUAGAAAGCUCUGGAGAGAAAAGCUGCGGGGGAUGACGGUACCUGAAGAAGAAGCACCGGCUAACUACGUG
rnacentral:rRNA from 1 species